rnacentral:tRNA from 2 species
GCGGGUGUAGUAUAGUGGCUAUUAUGCGACCCUUCCAAGGUCGAGACGUGGGUUCGAUUCCCAUCACCCGCUCAA